rnacentral:lncRNA from 1 species
UUGGGGCACGCUUUGGCGGCUGAAGCUCGCGCACCUGCUCUCCUCCUCCGUCCACCUUGAGUCUUGCGCCAUGGCGAGCAUCCUCCUGUGGAAGAUUUGGAGAAGAAGGGUGUUUUUUCUGUUUUGAGAUAGAGAGACAGAGGCGCAACUGAGCAUCUACGAUCCGCAGGUGAGCGAGGAGCGGCAACACCCGACACACCUGUAGCCGGCGGCGGGACGGGGGCGGGAGUGGGGGGUGUGAAGCAGCAGGUGAGCGGCGGAGGGGACUUGACGAUCUGCAGGUGAGCGGCGUAGGGGACUUGGGGAUUUGGAGAAGAAGGUUUUUUUUUUGCUGUUACGUUUUUUUCUUUUUUUUAUUUUUU